CAAAGCAGUAUAAAUAGCGAGAGAGAGCAUGUGACGAACCCAGAACUGAAUGUGGUCCAAUCCUGGGCUGAGUGUGUGUGAUGUGUUUACUGUCAGCAGCACCUGCGCGGAGACGUUUGCCCAGCUACUGUCCAGGAAAGGUGUUAGAGCACAGAAAUGGGGAUAUUAAGGUUGCGUCUUAGAAACUAAUUUUAUCCCCACUUAGAAAGUUCGCUGACCACGCAGUUACCAAGAAAAGGACUAGAUGUGCUUAAGUGUCAUUGAAGAGAAGUAGAGACUGAUGGUUAUAAAACAGGCUAAGUUCAUCCAGGAUGGAGACCAAAAGGGCCACAGGCAUUCAGAGGCCUGAGCGACCAUGAAGGGCUGAAGCCAUCGAGAAGUGCCUCACCGAGGGUGUGGGGCACGGGUGGGCCUAACCUUUCCCCAGACUCACCCUCUCUCCCCCGACUGUUUGCUCCUUUCCCAACAGUCGCUCUCCACUUUUUUAAAUUAGUAAAACGACCCCAAAGUGGCAAUGUGCCUGGCUAAAGACUACAUUUCCCAGCCUCCAUGAGAUCUAAGGAGAUGUUAUUGGGUGUGCUGUGUUGCCAGAUAAAGUAUGGUCUAUCCAGUUAAUUUUUAGUUUCAGAUAAACAAGAAAUAAUUUUUAAUAUAAGUAUGUCCCAUGUAACAUAUUAGUAUCUUUAUUUGCCAAAUCUGGCAAUUCUAUGGGUGAAACAUCAGGAAACAAGGUAGGAUACUCUUUGUGCCCUCCCCACCCCCUCUCUUUCCUUCCUGGGACAUGGAUGGAAUGGCUGGGAUUUCAGCAACCAUUUUGGAUCCUAAGGUUAGAUGGCAGAAGAGGAGGACAGAAAACUUGGGUCCCUAAUGGCCGCACACCUUCUGACUUCAUAUGUGAGAAGAAACCACUGAUUUGCUUUAGCCACAAAUAAUACCUGUUAUUUGUAUCCAAUUGCUAUUCCUGACUGAUGUAGCCAUAAUAAAAAGUGCUCUGUUA